rnacentral:precursor_RNA from 1 species
UUGGCGGCCAUGGCGGUCUCGGAGCCCGGGUACCGGAGCUGGUCCUUGUGGCCCGAGGUGCCAUCCGCCACCU